rnacentral:rRNA from 1 species
ACGAACGCUGGCGGCGUGCUUAACACAUGCAAGUCGAACGGGGGUAGCAAUACCCUAGUGGCGGACGGGUGAGUAACGCGUAGGUAAUCUGCCCCGUGGUGGGGGACACCCAGCCGAAAGGCUGGCUAAUACCGCAUAAGCUCUUUAUUUGAGAUGGUAAAGAGGAAAGGUUUACUGCCAUGGGAUGAGCCUGCGUCCGAUUAGCUAGUUGGUGAGGUAAAGGCUCACCAAGGCGACGAUCGGUAGCUGGUCUGAGAGGACGAUCAGCCACACUGGAACUGAGACACGGUCCAGACUCCUACGGGAGGCAGCAGUGGGGAAUUUUCCGCAAUGGGCGAAAGCCUGACGGAGCAACGCCGCGUGGGUGAAGAAGAUUUUCGGAUCGUAAAGCCCUUUCAGUCGGGAAGAAGUCAGUGACGGUACCGACAGAAGAAGCAUCGGCUAACUACGU